CCUACGGGAGGCAGCAGUAGGGAAUCUUCGGCAAUGGGGGGAACCCUGACCGAGCAACGCCGCGUGAGUGAAGAAGGUUUUCGGAUCGUAAAGCUCUGUUGUUAAGGAAGAACGAGUGUGAGAAUGGAAAGUUCAUACUGUGACGGUACUUAACCAGAAAGGGACGGCUAACUACGUGCCAGCAGCCGCGGUAAUACGUAGGUCCCGAGCGUUGUCCGGAUUUAUUGGGCGUAAAGCGAGCGCAGGCGGUUAGAUAAGUCUGAAGUUAAAGGCAGUGGCUCAACCAUUGUAGGCUUUGGAAACUGUUUAACUUGAGUGCAGAAGGGGAGAGUGGAAUUCCAUGUGUAGCGGUGAAAUGCGUAGAUAUAUGGAGGAACACCGGUGGCGAAAGCGGCUCUCUGGUCUGUAACUGACGCUGAGGCUCGAAAGCGUGGGGAGCGAACAGGAUUAGAUACCCCAGUAGUC
rnacentral:rRNA from 1 species